GGGGAAUAGCCCAAAGAAAUUUGGAUUAAUGCCCCAUGGUAUGUAUUAGCGGCAUCGCUUAUACAUUAAAGGCUACGGUACAGGAUGACUAUGCGUCCCAUUAGUUAGUUGGUAAGGUAACGGCUUACCAAGGCAGCGAUGGGUAGGGGCCCUGAGAGGGGGAUCCCCCACACUGGUACUGAGACACGGACCAGACUCCUACGGGAGGCAGCAGUGAGGAAUAUUGGACAAUGGGCGGGAGCCUGAUCCAGCCAUGCCGCGUGAAGGAAGACGGUCCUAUGGAUUGUAAACUGCUUUUGUACGGGAAGAACAAGGGGCACGUGUGCCCCUCUGACGGUACCGUAAGAAUAAGGAUCGGCUAACUCCGUGCCAGCAGCCGCGGUAAUACGGAGGAUCCGAGCGUUAUCCGGAAUCAUUGGGUUUAAAGGGUCCGUAGGCGGGCCAUUAAGUCAGGGGUGAAAGUCUGCGGCUCAACCGUAGAAUUGCCCUUGAUACUGGUGGUCUUGAGUUAUGGUGAAGUAACUAGAAUAUGUAGUGUAGCGGUGAAAUGCAUAGAUAUUACAUAGAAUACCGAUUGCGAAGGCAGGUUACUAACCAUAUACUGACGCUGAUGGACGAAAGCGUGGGGAGCGAACAGGAUUAGAUACCCUGGUAGUCCACGCCGUAAACGAUGGAUACUAGCUGUCCGGAUGCAAAUCUGGGCGGCCAAGCGAAAGUGAUAAGUAUCC
rnacentral:rRNA from 1 species